rnacentral:rRNA from 1 species
ACGCUAGCUACAGGCUUAACACAUGCAAGUCGAGGGGCAGCAUUUUAGUUUGCUUGCAAACUGAAGAUGGCGACCGGCGCACGGGUGAGUAACACGUAUCCAACCUGCCGAUAACUCCGGAAUAGCCUUUCGAAAGAAAGAUUAAUACCGGAUAGCAUACGAAUAUCGCAUGAUAUUUUUAUUAAAGAAUUUCGGUUAUCGAUGGGGAUGCGUUCCAUUAGUUUGUUGGCGGGGUAACGGCCCACCAAGACUACGAUGGAUAGGGGUUCUGAGAGGAAGGUCCCCCACAUUGGAACUGAGACACGGUCCAAACUCCUACGGGAGGCAGCAGUGAGGAAUAUUGGUCAAUGGGCGAGAGCCUGAACCAGCCAAGUAGCGUGAAGGAUGAAGGCUCUAUGGGUCGUAAACUUCUUUUAUAUGGGAAUAAAGUUUUCCACGUGUGGAAUUUUGUAUGUACCAUAUGAAUAAGGAUCGGCUAACUCCGUGCCAGCAGCCGCGGUAAUACGGAGGAUCCGAGCGUUAUCCGGAUUUAUUGGGUUUAAAGGGAGCGUAGGUGGAUUGUUAAGUCAGUUGUGAAAGUUUGCGGCUCAACCGUAAAAUUGCAGUUGAAACUGGCAGUCUUGAGUACAGUAGAGGUGGGCGGAAUUCGUGGUGUAGCGGUGAAAUGCUUAGAUAUCACGAAGAACUCCGAUUGCGAAGGCAGCUCACUAGACUGUCACUGACACUGAUGCUCGAAAGUGUGGGUAUCAAACAGGAUUAGAUACCCUGGUAGUCCACACAGUAAACGAUGAAUACUCGCUGUUUGCGAUAUACAGUAAGCGGCCAAGCGAAAGCAUUAAGUAUUCCACCUGGGGAGUACGCCGGCAACGGUGAAACUCAAAGGAAUUGACGGGGGCCCGCACAAGCGGAGGAACAUGUGGUUUAAUUCGAUGAUACGCGAGGAACCUUACCCGGGCUUAAAUUGCAACAGAAUAUAUUGGAAACAGUAUAGCCGUAAGGCUGUUGUGAAGGUGCUGCAUGGUUGUCGUCAGCUCGUGCCGUGAGGUGUCGGCUUAAGUGCCAUAACGAGCGCAACCCUUAUCUUUAGUUACUAACAGGUUAUGCUGAGGACUCUAGAGAGACUGCCGUCGUAAGAUGUGAGGAAGGUGGGGAUGACGUCAAAUCAGCACGGCCCUUACGUCCGGGGCUACACACGUGUUACAAUGGGGGGUACAGAAGGCGGCUACCUGGUGACAGGGUGCUAAUCCCAAAAACCUCUCUCAGUUCGGAUCGAAGUCUGCAACCCGACUUCGUGAAGCUGGAUUCGCUAGUAAUCGCGCAUCAGCCAUGGCGCGGUGAAUACGUUCCCGGGCCUUGUACACACCGCCCGUCAAGCCAUGAAAGCCGGGGGUACCUGAAGUACGUAACCGCAAGGAGCGUCCUAGGGUAAAACUUG